GGAAGGAUCAUUAACAAAAAACUAAGCGUCGUGGGCUCUUCGGCCUAGGCGUCUACGUUUUAACCCUCUGUGUACCCUUUACCUUUGUUGCUUCCCGUCCGGCUUCUGCUGGGCGGGGAGGUCUACCUGAACUCCUGUAUUUUUUGCAGUCAGUGUGAGCGGUCUAUCCGCGAAAUUUAAAAGUUAAAACUUUCAACAACGGAUCUCUUGGUUCUCGCAUCGAUGAAGAACGCAGCGAAAUGCGAUAAGUAGUGUGAAUUGCAGAAUUCAGUGAAUCAUCGAAUCUUUGAACGCACAUUGCGCCCUCUGGUAUUCCGGAGGGCAUGCCUGUCCGAGCGUUAUUAAACCCCUCAAGCACUCUUUUGCUUGGUAAUGGUGGAAGAUCGUCCUCGUGGCGUUCUCCGCUGAAAGAAAUCUGGCGGAGAGCCUGGUCUCUGUUGACGUAGUAGGAUUUUCUAUCGUCUUCUUGGUGAUCAGUUAUCCAGCCGUAAACCUAUUUUUCUAUAGGAUUUUCCUCGGAUCAGGUAGGGAUACCCGCUGAACUUAAGCAUAUCAAUAAGCGGAGGAAAAGAAACCAACAGGGAUUGCCUUAGUAACUGCGAGUGAAGCGGCAAAAGCUCAGAUUUGAAACCUGCCAUCUUCGGUGGCCGGAUUGUAAUCUGGAGAGACGAUUUCUGGUGGGCAGCCGGUCUAAGUUCCUUGGAACAGGACGUCAGAGAGGGUGAGAAUCCCGUAUCUGGCUGGCCCGACCCGCCUUGUGAAACGUCUUCGACGAGUCGAGUUGUUUGGGAAUGCAGCUCAAAAUGGGUGGUAAAUUUCAUCUAAAGCUAAAUAUUGGCGAGAGACCGAUAGCGCACAAGUAGAGUGAUCGAAAGAUGAAAAGCACUUUGAAAAGAGAGUCAAAAAGUACGUGAAAUUGUUGAAAGGGAAGCGCUUGAGACCAGACUCGGGUUGAGGUGAUCAACGGUGCUUUUGCUCCGUGCACUUGCCUCUGCCCGGGCCAGCAUCGGUUGUGGCGGUGAGAUAAAGGUCCGAGGAAUGUGGCUCCUUUCGGGGAGUGUUAUAGCCUCGGGCGUAAUGUCACCUGCUGCGACCGAGGACCGCGCUUCGGCUAGGAUGCUGGCGUAAUGGUCUUCAGCGACCCGUCUUGAAACACGGACCAAGGAGUCUAACAUCUAUGCGAGUGUUCGGGUGUAAAACCCCUGCGCGUAAUGAAAGUGAACGGAGGUGGGAACCUUCUGGGUGCACCAUCGACCGAUCCUGAUGUCUUCGGAUGGAUUUGAGUAGGAGCAUAGCUGUUGGGACCCGAAAGAUGGUGAACUAUGCCUGAAUAGGGUGAAGCCAGAGGAAACUCUGGUGGAGGCUCGCAGCGGUUCUGACGUGCAAAUCGAUCGUCAAAUUUGGGUAUAGGGGCGAAAGACUAAUCGAACCAUCUAGUAGCUGGUUCCUGC
rnacentral:misc_RNA from 1 species